AGAACUGCGUUGCUCUCUCGGUUGACAAUGCAGCUGUGAACAUCGGACCACACAAUUCCGCCUCUAGGGUGCUCCAGAAACACCCCAACACCUAUAUUCAUGGUUGUCCUUGUCAUGUGGCCCAUAACACCGCCAAAGCUGCAGGAGGGGGAUUUUUUAAAGUGUCUGGUUUUGAUUUGGAGGACAUGGUAGUGGACAUCGGUUACUGGUUCAAAGGUAGCACAAAUCGGAAAGGAUACCUGACAGAGUUUUGUGAGCUGCAUGAAGCUGAGUACAUGGAGGUCCUCCUGCACAUCUCAGUUCGUUGGCUAAGCCUUGAACGUUGUGUGACCAGAAUCCUGAGGCUUUACGGACCUCUCGCGAGCUACUUCAAAUCUACUAAUGAAAAUCAGGCCAGAUUCAAGAGGCUUGUGCAGGCAUUUACUGACCCCAUGACAGAAGUGUACCUGCUGUUCUACAAAGCCAGCGUACCAACCUUCACUGAUUUCAACUUGCUUCUCCAGAGAGAGCAGUCAGCAAUAUAUUUGUUACAU